rnacentral:lncRNA from 1 species
CGAUAUUUCAAAUAGUAUUGUCAGGCUUUUGCGAUGUCAUUCCCAUUUUACAAUUUUUUUAAUAAAAAAAUAAAAUAAAAUGAUUUAGAAUUAAUAAAAUAUGAAAAUGAAUAAUUAAUAAAAAAAUAUUUUCAAAUAAUAAUUAUAAAUAUGAAAAAUUUAUAAAAAUUCAAUUAAAUAUGAUUAAUAAAAUACGAAAAUUAAUAUUACUAAAAAGUAAAAUAACAAUAAAAAAAAAUCAAUCAUCGACAUCGAUCUCUUCUUCUUUUUCAUCAUCAUCAUCCUUCUAUUUUACCGCUCCUCGGCCUCCAACUGUUCCAAAUCUGUCAUUUUCACAAAAUCCUUGAUUAUUAUCUAUUGUACCAUAUGUUUGGUUCGUUUGUGAGAACAUAUAUUCUCGCAUUUGCUCCUCCAUCUCAAUUCGUGUCUUCUUCAUUUCCUCUAAUUCGGCCUUUAGCAUUGUCUUGCUUGAUAAUGCCUCGCGUCUCACCUCUGUCUCGCGUCUCACCUCUGUUAGAGCUAAUUAUCUCCUUAUUUCCAUCAUUCUGGGUAUCAACUCUAGUGGACGUGACGAUCCUUCCCAUAUAAAAUUCUCGUAAAUGAAUUUAUAUCCCAUUUUCUAUAGUUGGCAACCAAAGGUUUAACACCAUAAUAUUAGACGAUAGUCCAACCACAUAUGAUUAUUUGUGGCAUAUUUGGGAAAUUGAGUUUUAAAUUAUUAGUUUAUUUAAUAAACGGUUCAACCAUAAAUUUAAUCCGUUGAAUCAAUUGAAACUUAAAUCGUAAGUUUCACCGGUUCAAUCUUCGGUCUGAUUUUAAAAUAUUGACAAAAGGUAAGUUUUGAAGUUAUAAUCUUUUCAUUCUAAAAUAAACAUAUACUACUAUAAACUA